AGGCCCUUCAGAGCGCUCUCGAGACUCUCCAAAGGGACUCCUGGGAUAACUGCCGUUCUUCAGAGCUAACGGACUUCUUUCGGCCGCGGCUGCAGACCCCAGUUAGGGCACAGUGAGAGGAGGCACUGGAUACCGGCUGGGCGCUAUCGCUGCCUGUGUGUGUGCAGCACUGGCGCCAUCCCGCGUCCACCCCAAGGCUGCGGAGGAAGCAGCCUGAAGACUCCCAAGGUAGCUUAAGCCAGAUCUCGGGGCAAGCGUUUGAUUCUCUUUUUGCUUCUCUCUCUACUCCUUUGCGGUCUCCCACCCAUCUCUUGCCCCAGGUCCUCCGGUCCCUCCAGGGGCUAACGCCUCUGCCUUCUGGGCCAGACAAUACAAUCUCAGUCUCUCCAAGGAGACUUGCUGGUGACUGCAGGACAGAAUUCGCCCUUCGAAAGCAAGCAUGGAGCAGCCAGAGAAUGUCCACCAUGAGCGGUUUUAAAAAUCACAAAGAGACCAAAGCUAAGCAUGAAAGUCAAGGCAAAGGUUUUUAAGGCGGCAGAGCACCUGUGCAGGCCCAGGGGGAGCAGCAGAGCAGCGGCGCAGGUGGCAGCAGACCGGAGUAGGAGGCGGCAGACAGCGAGGACCAGCGCACAACACCGAGAGCAGAUCGCCCCACGACAAUUAAAGCAAAGAGGUAUUGGAAAAUCAUUGCCAGGAUGUCUGGUCUCUUCUGUCCCAUCGGGUCCCAGUAGACCAAUGGUCUUCUUUCGUAAGUCUACAACCGCCAAGGUCCAGUGGACACCCAGAUGUACCGGCACGAGGACAAUGUUCUUUUCAAGAUGUUCACAGUUUGUGUCCACCGUUUUACUGCCUGUAUCCUCCACCCUUCAGUUUGGUGUUUAAAAAAAAAACAACAACAACAACAAAAAACCAAAAAAAACGUACCAAAGGUGUGAAGUGCUGGAAACCCUGGAGAUUUGCUUCUUUUCAUGAGAAGACUCAUGUAAAAAUUAAUAAUUUCAUCAUUGAGCCGAGCCGCUGGCCUUUCUGAAGAGUCUGCAUGUCUCCUCGAGUAACGUUCAGCUUGAAUGAACUACUUAAGAUUUCGUCUUGUGGCCCUGGGCCUAGCGCACUGGCGAUUUCUCUCUCCACAUCAGUUGUCACCUCAGGGAACUGAUCUUGGUCUCUGCCCAUCUCCUGCUCCCCCAAAGGCUCCCCCUUGGCCUUGGGCAUUAACCUGGUUUUGCUGAUGAUGCCCCUGGUGAUAGUAAUUUUACAGAUUUCAACCUGAGCUCCUCCCAGAGCGUCAGAGUGGUGGUGGUGUCUCCUCUCAUUUUUGAGGGUCUUUCCCACUCUCUUCAGGGUUUCACACUGUGACUCUGAUGAACAGCCCUUUUCAUUAGUGACUGGUGAGGGAUGUUUUACGACAGGAGAGAUAGACUGAUGGGGCUGGAAGGAAAUGGUUUCCCCUUCACGAAUGUGCUCUUCAGGGCAACACUUGACCUUCUUCAAGGGGUCUGUGAGUCUCCUAUCAGUGCUCAGAGGGCCAGUGUGCACAUGGUCACUGUGCUGAAGAUGGUCUAAAUUUCUGCACUCUGUGUCAUGGUAUUUCUGCACAUCUUCCUCCAUUUUGCCAUAAGAAUGCUUGUGGCCCUUGCCACCACCCACAAACUUCACCUCAGCCACACCCUCUUCUUGCGGGCCCUUGUCACAGUGUUGGGUUUUUUGAUGUGAUGGCUCAUGUUCCAGGUGAUGCGAUAUGUCAUCAUAUCCAGGUUCUGAUCAAUCAAGCUCUAUUUCACUGUGGUCUUUUAUUUACCCUCUUUGGAGGCUCAGCUGGCUCCUUAGACUUUUCAUCAGUUCCUCCCUCCUCCUGGCCUCUUCUCUUUCUCCAUGUCCUAGGAAGUUCUGGAGACAUGGUACCAAGUUGCCUGUGCAGGCGGCAGGUUGAAGAAGUGCUUGGCUUCCCAUUGGUCAGGAAUAGGCUCUCUGCCUGUUCUAUCAUCAUUAGCUCAAAAAUGUGUCCAACUUUAGUACUGGGGUGUUACUUAGUGAUACAAUAUUCCUUACAUACACAAGAUACAGGAUUUACACCCUAGUGGAGGAAAGCCAAAGCUACUGAAGAGAACGAACUUGCACUUUCACUUGUACACACUCUCUCACAUGUACACACACACAAUCACACAUUUUUAUGCACCUCACAUUGAGGGGUAUUUACCAGAAAGAAGGGCAAAAGAUUGUCCACGAAUAGGAAAUUCAGGAGUGGCUUGGCUGAAACUACAGGUCUAGCAUAUGCGAUUCUGUUGGUCCUUUAUAAAGUCCCAAAUUGCAUCUUUCCUGGGUUCAUUGAAGUUCUGGUUUUUCAUCUGUGAAGCUGCUUGAUGUUGAACUUUCAGUAUAUCCUUGAUGACUUCUUUAGCCUGUGAUCAGUGUUUGAACUCACUUAGAGCAUGGAAGGUUUGUGAUUAUUCAGUCCUUCUCACUGUCUAGGAAAGACGUGCAAAUCCCUCAAGGUGAAGAUUCUAUUAUAAGAGAUAAUAUUAGAAGGUAUGAGCUUCUUUUUGUUGCCUGUGUGCAUAGGACUGAGCUGUAAAUUCAUGUGUCUUAGGGAUUCUGUAAUAGAGGUGACUUCUCAGGGAAGCCAAUGAAGGAUCAUCAUUUUCACAGUCUACAUCUCUGUAUUACAUAGUUUACGUCAUGUACAUAUUUUGUAAUUUAUUGUAAAAUUACCCCGAUAAUCUAAACGGAUUCUGCUAUUGCUGAUCAAUAUUAAGGUCACACAUUUAAAAAUGUCCCAGGACUUAAUCCCUUGAGACUAAUGGACACUGGCUAGGUGCGAUCCCUUUGUGGGUCUCAAGAGUGGUGUGCAGCAUUGUUACAAUCCCACAUCCACCCCAAGGGGAGGAGAAAACAGCCUGGAGACCUCCCAAGGUAGUUCAAGCCAGAUCUUGGGGCCAGGGCUUGAUUGUCUUUUUGCUUUUCUCUCUACUCCUCUGCUUAUGAGGAAAAGAUUCAUUUUUAAGAAUGGACCAGAUUGAAAAAAAAAAUGGACCAGAUGAUAGGAGAAGUUGUUUCCAGAUGACAAGCCUGUCAACAAACAAAUGCUUCCUCAGGAAUGGUGCCACCUCCAGGGGUUAGAUGACAUUCAAGAGCAGGCAGAUUCUAGGUAGUAGAUUUACAGAAGUCAGGCCAGAAUAAUAUGCAUACACAUAUUCGCUUGUUCUUGUGGAUACAUUUUCUGAUGGGUAGAGUGAUUUCCCACCAAGUCUCCUUAGAAUACAGCUAGGAAACAUUUAAGUGAGCCAAUGUCUAGGUCCGGAGUGCCCUUGCCCAUAGGGUCAGAUAACAAGCAAGCCUUUCUACCCAAUGUCACUGAAAGUAUUUCUGCUAUUCUGGGGAUCAAUUGGAAAUUACAUGGUAUUUUUCAUCCCCAAAGAGCAGGACAAAGAGGAUAAAUUGCACCCUGAAGGAGACCUUAACUAAAUUAAGCUUAGAGAUUGGUGAAAGUUGGGUGGAGCUACUUCCCAUUGUCCUCCUUAGGCAUCCCUGUACUCCUCAUGUAAAAGGACUGACUUUAUUUGAACUCUUUUUUUAUGGGAGGUUUCCUCCCAUCCACCCGCAGGAUUGGAACUAGCUGUUGAAAUUGUUAAUCAAUCGCUUCAAUGUGUGUCGGCUUUGCAGCAGUCUCAGAUUGUGUCCUCCUCACUUAAGGCUGCCUUCCAGAGUUCAAUACUUCACCCACACUCCUUCUGGACAGGAGAUGGGGUGUGGAUCAAGAGACAUAGCAGUGGGGAUUUAAGAUUUUGCUGAAAGGGAUCCUAUCUGGUCAUGCAGAUGACCUCAACUGCUGUCAAGGUAGAUGACAUCCACACCUAGAUACAUCACUCUCUAAUAAAGGGCAUCGCAGAAGGACAAGAAGGCCCAGUUGCAGGGGAGCCAUCAAUCCAGAGAGGUAGACCAUCACAAAGGUUGACUAAAAAGAAGACUGACUCAGCUUUCAUUCUAUUUUAUGUUAAUGCUUAUGUUAUAUGUAAUUACGUCUGAUUAUAUUGCCUCCUUUAUCCAAAGUGGAAAACCCUUCUACUCCCUCAGAUGCCUAUAGUCCUCUCAGUACUAUAGGAUUAGGAACAGCUGGAGCCACUCUUGCUGUAACCAGCCCAGCAUGGCUCACUCUAACUCCAGGACCUUAGGAUGCCAGGAAACCCAGGAUUUACUUGCAUUGGAAAAGUCUACUGCAAAGUCAGAGGAUCAGGUGUGAUGGAGGAAGGCCACUGGCUAAUAAAGAAACUGCCUUGGCCCAUUUAAUUGGUUAGAACAUAGGUAGGCGGAGUAAACAGAACAGGAUGUUGGGAGAAAGAAGCUGAGUCAGGGAGUCGCCAUGAUUCUCCCACUCCACACAGACACAGGUUAAGAUCUUAUCUGGUAAGCCACCUCAUGGGCUACACAGAUUAUUAGAAAUGGGUUAGAUUAAUAUGUAAGAGCUAGCCAGUAAGAGGCUAUAGAUAACGGGCCAGGCAGUGUUUAAAAGAAUACAGUUUCCGUGUAAUUAUUUCGAGCAUAAGCUAGCCAUGCAGGCGGCCGGGUGCCGGGGACGCAGCCCCGCUGCUCUUAUCACUACACAGGUGGGCUCUUCAGCUGAGGUCAUCUUGGAACAUGGUAGGACUCUUAACCUACGGCAUACAGACCAUGGAGGCUUCUGCAUGAACAACUCAUAGAAGCAGGAAAGACUGCAUGGAGGCAGUCCAGGGAUUCCGUUUUCAUAAUCAGGUUUCUCUUGGCUGGAAUCUGUACUGUUAGCUGUUACAGUACCACUAGCCCUCUUGUUCUGUAUGAUUACAUUGGUCCUGCACCUUUAAUGCCAUAACUAGAUAUAAAACGUAAUGCUUGGGAGCCAUUAACCUGGGGGUUGUUUGGUCACAAUAUGAACAGAUAUCCACUGCAGCAUCACAGAUUUGACAAAGUCCAUAGUUCUGGAAAAGUCUCUAAGUGUGCUUACUUCCUAUUUGGAUUCUGUAGUUCCAUAUCUGGCUAAGUGUACUUGUACCUGAAGUAUGUCAACCCAGAA